GAUAUAAAUGAUUCACUAACAAAUCUUUUCUCUUCACAUCCAUCUAUUCUUCCAGGAACUAACACCAGAGGAUAACAGCAAUCAUGCGACUUUACAUUGCGGCAUUGGUGGUUGCUGCCCUCGUUAUUUCCAUUUCAUGCGAUGAUGACUUCAGACGAUGGGGAUAUGGCAGUCGGUUUUGGCGGUAUAAUGCUCUUAUGAAUUGGCUCAGAAGACCAACGCUGUACCAACAACAGAAAGAGACGUCAAAUUACCCACAAAAACAGGCGUCAAGUUACCCACAGAAACAGGCGUCAAGUUACCCACAGAAACAGGUACAGCAACCCCAGUUCAACAAUUUCAACUGGAGAUCAUAUUUCAAGCCAGGAUUUCGGAGAUUUGAUUCAGCCGAAGACUAAAACAAUACAUAUGGCAUAUUAUAUUCCCAUUUGUUUCACAAAAGCACAGCAGAUCUUGACAGUUACUAAUAAAUGCAUUUAACUUGUCAUGUGAAACGUCAUUAGAAUGCCCUGAAAAUUCAGACUGGAAUAUUACAUAGUUUGAAACCUGAAACAUGUAAUUAUUUCAUUAUCCAAAAUAAACUAAAUACAUAUUCCA